GACAGAGGGUGCGAACGUUGUUCGGAAUUACUGGGCGUAAAGCGCGUGUAGGCGGCAACGCAAGUCGGGCGUGAAAUCCCACGGCUCAACCGUGGAAGUGCACUCGAAACUGCGUAGCUAGAGUCCUGGAGAGGAAGGUGGAAUGCUUGGUGUAGAGGUGAAAUUCGUAGAUAUCAAGCGGAACACCAGUGGCGAAGGCGGCCUUCUGGACAGUGACUGACGCUGAGACGCGAAAGCGUGGGGAGCAAACAGG
rnacentral:rRNA from 1 species